rnacentral:tRNA from 1 species
AAGGGAGACCUAAUUCAGGUAAAAGACGAAAAAAAGUAGUCGCUACCAAGAAUCAAUCCCAAAAGGUCGGAGCGAGGCGAAAUUGGCUUUCAAACUAGGUUCUGGGUUCAAACAAGACCUGAAUCAGGAACAAGGGCUAUUAGCUCAGGUGGUUAGAGCGCACCCCUGAUAAGGGUGAGGUCCCUGGUUCGAGUCCAGGAUGGCCCACCUGCACAGGUGGCAAAAACAAGAGAAGCGAGGAAUCAGCACCUUAUCUUACUUAUAUAGUAAGAGAGAAUGCUGGCUCUGAGUAAAGAGUCCAGAGGAACCUUGAAAACUGCAUAGAGCCAGGUGAAAAAGCCAAAAAAGAAGACCGCAAGGUCAAGCUAAUAAGGGCUAACGGUGGAUACCUAGGCAC